AUACGGAGGAUCCGAGCGUUAUCCGGAUUUAUUGGGUUUAAAGGGUGCGCAGGCGGGAGAUUAAGUCGGCGGUGAAAUUUUGCAGCUUAACUGUAAAAGUGCCUUCGAAACUGGUUUCCUUGAGUGUAGAUGAAGUAGGCGGAAUUUGUGGUGUAGCGGUGAAAUGCAUAGAUAUCACGAGGAACUCCGAUUGCGCAGGCAGCUUACUAAACUACUACUGACGCUCAGGCACGAAGGCGUGGGGAUCAAACAGGAUUAGAUACCCUGGUAGUCCACGCAGUAAACGAUGAUUACUAGCUGUUUGCGAUACAAUGUAAGCGGCUGAGCGAAAGCGUUAAGUAAUCCACCUGGGGAGUACGUUCGCAAGAAUGAAACUCAAAUGAAUUGACGGGG
rnacentral:rRNA from 1 species